UGCUAGUGUCGACUGAUAGAGGGAGAAAUUGGGCGAAAUUAGCUGUGAGUGAAAAUUUUCUUCAUUAACUACUAGAUUAGUAUGAAAUUGUGCGAAAUCGUUAUAGGUCAGUGUGAGUUUACUGAUAUUAUCGACUUUAGGGAGGUAUUCUGCGCUUUGAAGAUGAAUUGGUUUGUUCAAAAUCCAAACUGGAAUAUUACUACUCCCCCAUAUGGUAUGCUUCUUCUGACUACACCCCCAUAUGUUCGAAAUCCAAACUCCUUCCUUAUUUUGUACUAAUUUAUUUUUGUAUGAUUGAUACGAGCUACAGUGUAGUCCUGUCUAUCUAUCCAUAAAUCUCCCCAAUCUUAAUAGAAGUGAAUUUUGUUCCAAAUCAUUAAUAUGGUUAUUAGAUACUCAACUUUGCCUCUGAUAUUUCUUUUAAUUCAUAAAAUUGAACUACACAACUGGAAUAAAUUUACAAGUAAAAGAAACAAAUCUAAGAUAAAGAUGUGUGCUCCUAGCCUUUGAUUAAGGGUGUAAAUGAGUCGAACCGAAGUAAACAAAGAGUUACUCGAAUUUGACUCAAAACGUUAAAUUCAUACUCGAAUUCGAAUUGUAUUUAAAUUUUUUUACUCAGAUUCGACUAGACUCGAAUUCGAUCCUUCAAGUUUAAACUACUCGUGAGCUUCAAAUUCAAGCUCGAAUUCUCCACAUAACAAUUAACUUUAUAAUAAAUAAAAGUAUAAAUUGAAUUUUUUAUUUUACUUAGAAAUGAGAAAAUAUAUUUACUAUUACACUUUACAAAUAUAAAAUCACAAUUACAAUUAAAAAUUAAACAAAAUAAUAAUAAUUAAUUAACCUAAUUUGAUUUAAUUUUGUAUAUAUUAUAAGAGAAUGUAUCGAGUAUCUAAUUGAAUCUGUAUCAAUCAAGUAUGUAUCGAAUCACAAUUUGAGAAUUCGUGCAAUUUGAAUCUUAAACGAGUCGAGCAUGACCUUGCUCAGAUUCUAGUAUUAUACUCAUAUUUUUAUCCGAACUAUUUUUUAUUCUUGGAUCAUAUAAUUAACGAAUCUGAGUGUCGCUCGUAUUUUUUCGAAUCGAGCCCAAAUCGAGGCCUAUUUAGCUAGUUUACAGCUUUACCAGUGAUGAUGGAAAUCAACUUAGAAAAUGCCUCAAGGUUAGGAAUGGUGACGGUGUGGGUAUGAUUAGGGGGACCCCUCAUCAAAUUAUGCCUGCUUUAGAAACUUUAUUGCUCAUGCCCUGCACUUUUCUGUUCUGGACCCGCCCCAAUUUGUUGACACUGUUUACUCCUUACUAGGGAUGACAUUGGUGCGGUGGGUUAGUGGUUAUCAAGUGAUUUGGUAUCGCACCGAUCUUAAAAAAUUUGCACCAAAACGCACAACACCGGUCCCAGUUCAUAAAAUUGCUUUACCAAAAUCGCACCAAGCGGUUCAUUCUCCUGAACAACACUGCAUCGCACUACACCACACCACAACAACAAAUAAUUAUAAAAAAAAUUUUAUAAAUAUUUUAAGAAGUAAAACAACAUUAUAGAUUAAGAAUUUUCAUAACUUAACUAUAGUUUCAUAUAAGAAAACUAGAACAAGCAUUAUUAUGUACUAGUGGUAUUGCAUUUUUUUAAGGUAGAGUUUAGGGAUUCCAAACUCACUAACACUUAUUUUAUAUUUUAAUAUAUGUAUAAUACGUUGGAUCAAAAUCAGUGCACCACUGAUUCAUAUAUCCAUUGCAGUGCGGGGUGGUGCACCACUGUUUCAAGAGCAAAACCAGCACCACACCACUUUCGAUUUAUUUAUUUUUGCACCAAAAUCUCACCGGCCAAGUCUUUAGUUUGGCUAAAAAUCGGCUGAUACGAUUCAGUUUGACUGGUUUAAGUUCAAUUUUAGUUUAAAUUGUCAUUUAUAUUCCCCACCCAAUAUAUUGACUUUUUUUCCAUGAAUUUUAAUUGAAUUAUGUAUUAGUUUAAUUCUAAACUAAGAUUUGUAGGCUAACAAAAUGUUAAAGUCAAUAUAAUAUUUAAUUAUUGUUUCGUAUUUCCUCAACUUUUUUGAUGCUUACUUGGUGUUGUGUGAACAAUUGAAAAUUCAAGGAGCGCAGUAUUAUAUAUAUAUAUACACAGCCGAUCCAGUUCGGGAGUCUGGACUGGAGUAUAAAGACGGUACCAAUUUUUUUUUUGUUUUUUUGUUUUUUUUUUACCUUACACCUUUUUCGUUAGGAUCGGGUUCCAUUAUGUUGGAGAAAAUUGGUAAACCUAUGGAAGGUCAUACAUAAUAUUUGGCCCAUCCAAGCUAGUUUUGGAGCUCACUUAUUCCUUUACAUUUACAGUGGUAGCCUAAUUCUCCAAGUACUAUAAAUAUAAUAACUAAAUUCUACAGAAAAUGCAACACCUUAAUAAUUUGUUUCACCAGAAAAGGCUAUUUAAGUAGACACGGUUAGAAAAAUAAAAAUAUAUUUAAAUUUGUCUUUCAUUUUUUUUAUAUUAUCAGCUGCGUAAAUAAGUAUUAUUAACAAGUUUUAAAAAAUAACAUGUAAUAUGAUGGCCAUUCUUUUUUAUCAUAACCAAAGGCAUCGUCCCUCUUAGACAACUAAUAUAAGAUUUCACAUGGUCAACACAUUUCGAUGUCCAUUGGCCCAAUCGAUAUAUACCUUGUUGUGAGACAAUCUUUUUGGGCUUCUAAACACUUUAUAUCCACCAUAAAAAUAAAAAUAUAUGACUGAGCAAAAUUGUUCAUUUCCCUUCUUCAACUAAGUAUACAUUUAUCAUUAUUUGGGAACUAGAUCUUAAGAUUUUGUGUCAUAUCUGUUUCACAGAUCAGAUGCUUGAUCUAUUUGAAAAUUAAGCACCUUUAAGGGGUAUUUGUUUAGAGCUGAAUGGCUGAAUCGGUCAGUCAUUCAGUGCGUUUGUUUUGAAUAAAAAUCGUCUGAAUGGCUGAAUCGGUUAGAUUUUUGGGCUGAAUGAUCAAGUGUAAUUUUUUUUGUUGAAUGGGUUGAAUGAUUGCUGAAUGAAGUAUUUUAUAUUUAAUUUUUUUUACAAUAUUAACUAUUAUAUUAAGUAAUAUUAAAUAAAUUUACAACAAUUUUGAAUUUUUUCAAAGGGAUAUAAUAAUAAAAAUCUAUUAUUCAGAUGUCAAUUAUCAAACAACUUUUUUCAUUCAGGAUUCACAAUUUUGCUUCAUUCAGCUCAUUCAGAUUACUUAAAUAUUCAGAACUAUUUCAUUCAAUUUUAUCAAACACUCCGUUAGUGUAUUUGAAAAGUAAGAACUAAAAACGAUACCAAAUACUAGUUCAUAUACACUUGCAUGACAUUUGGCCCCUCUUUACUUAUUUUCAGGGCUUUUUCCUGGGAGGAUGGGAUAAUUGUACGUUCUGCUUGAAGUUGGGACAUGAAUUUAUUGUGCAAUGCUUAGCUAAUUGAAAGUACUGGUAGAAGAUAAAAAUUCAAAAUUAUAAUCAACACCCCCACAUAUUUGUGUGUCCUGUCCAGGAAAUGGAGGCGAGUUUGGUGUCUAUCCCUGCAAACACUAUCCCUAUCAAAGGCGAGGUUAGAUGAUCAAGUAGUUCAGAACAUUCGGGAUACCAACUUUAACGGUGUCAAGGAAUGUAUUGGCUUGAAAAAAGUAUGGCUCUCAAGCUAUAACUUGAAUACAGUAAAGUUGUUUGAGUGCCAAGGGCUUGAGAUGGUGGAGAUUUUUGCUCCAAAUCUUAAAACUUUUAGUUUAAUGGAUAUGCCAUGCGAGAUUGAAUUGCCUGUCUCAAAAAAUCUGAAGCAGUUAGAAUUAUUUUGGAUGCACCUAACCCGCAACGUGCUUCAAGACUAUAUUUCACAAUUUUGAGUUCUUGAAUGUUUGAUGCUGGUUGGGGGUGAUAAGUUGGAGUAUAUAAAUAUCUUGAGUCAAACACUCGAGAAACUUAAUCUGUUUCAAUGCCAUAAGUUGGUCGAGAUUAAGAUUGAUACUCCAAAUCUAGAGCAUUUUAUGUAUAGUGAAGGCAAUUUUGUGUCUUUAGAAACAAGUAAUUAUCUGCAUCUGGUAAAAGUAAUUUAUCGUUGUGUUAAAUGAUCCUGAUGUCCUUGAUGCCUUGUGGUUCCACAAAGUGAGUCAAUUUCUUGCUAAUUUCAAGCAUAGCAAAUUGUUGACAUGGGGUUAUAACUCAGAUUAGGUAUGCUUUGUACUGAGAAUUUUCAAGUGUUUUAUUUUUUUAAUUAUUUUUUUUGCCGUAAGUUUGUAUGUGAGUCUUGUAUUUAUAUAGAACGUUAUUUAAUAUUUAGUCUGACAUUUUUAUACAUGUAGGAUGUAGUCUUUCCAUAUGAAGUUAGAGAAUCCUCAUUUCCGCCACUCUACGGGCUGAAGCAUUUGGAAGUAAUAAGUUUAUCACCAGUGCAUUUGGUGGCGUGUGUGGAUAGCAUACUUUGGACUUCUUGUCUAGAGAGAGUAAAGAUAAUGUGGUUUCGCAAAGUAAACGUUGGGUACGUAUUUUUCUUUAGAUUAUAAUCCCUCCGUUCCAUAUUAUUUGGAAAUCAACUUAAGAUAUUUUUAAAUUUAAAAUUGUCAUACAUUCAUUUACUUUUAAUUAAUACAAUGAUAAAUAUUAUAAAUUAUUUUAAAAGUAUUACUUAUUAUUUUAUAAUUUUUAAUGAGUCAUCUCAAUUUUAAAAUUUUCAAAAAUUGACUUUUAAUUUAAAGCGGAGGGAGUGACAGGUUUCUAGCAAGGCACACAAAAACACAACUAGCCAAACUUAGGCGAUGGUAAAAUUCGAAUUAUGUGUUUUGUUCCAAUUACAGUUGAAAUAUGUGGAGAAGAUAUUAACUAGUCAUGCUGUAAAAAUCAUCCCGUCAAAUGGUUUCUCGAUCUCGAAUACACCAUAGAACUAUAUUAGGAUUUAUGUUUUUAAUUAUGAUGGAGGAGUGACGUACUUCUAAAUUAACCAACUUGUUUUGAGAUUUUAAUCUUACAGUUGAGUGGGUAUGGCAUUUGGUUGAUCUUUAACUAUCCAUUUGUUUUGAAGCGAAUCUUUAUAGUAGUUUUUAAUGCUUACGUACCUUUGUUUUGGGUUGUACAAAUAUGGCCCAUAUGGUUAUGAUAUAGUUAAUGUAAGAGUUGAAAAAUUGUAAACAUUUUGGAGAGCACAUCCUCUUUUCCCAAUUCUCUUGUCCUCUUAUGUCCCUUCACUUAUAUUUUGACACAUAAUCUUUUACUUAACACCAAUUAAUUUUAAAAUUAAAUAAAAGGACAUGUGUCAAAAUAUAAGUGGGAGGAGACAAGGAGGACAGAGAAAUUGGGAACAGAGGAUCUCCUCUCAACAUUUUGAGCUUAUAUUUAAAUAUAUUUCUUUUUAAAAUAUAGUUUCAAGUUAAGUGAUAGAAAAUACUCCCUUCGUUCCUUAAUAUAGGUCGUUUUAGAGUUGUGCACAAGUAUUAAGGAAAUGAUUGUAUAGCAUUAACUAUAAUAUCAAUUGUCUAUUUUGCCCUUGUAUUGGAAGAAGAGAAUGUUAUUUAUUGGACAGAAAAUAGUGAGAGAACCAAAGUUACAUUUAAUAGUUGGGGUAAUAUUGGAAAUUAAGCAAUUAAUGUUUACUUGAAAUUUUAAAACGACUUAUAUUUAGGAAUAAAAAUAUUUUUUUAAAACGACUUAUAUUAAGGAACAGAUGGAGUAGUUUACCGGCCCAAAUAUUAAAGUUAUGACAUAUAUUCCAUACAUCCAGCAUGGAAUAUAUUGACCCACCUAUAUAUAAUACUAUACUUUUAAAUGAAGCUAAUUAAAGGAUUCGAUCCGAAAGUGAAGGCAGCCUACGGAAGAAGUUGAGAGCUGGUGACGGCAUUCUGUCCCUAAAUAUUGGAUGCCGUAAAUAAUAGAAACCCAAAGCCAUACCCACCAUCUUUGAUGGUACCAAGUACAACAUAAUUGCCACCACAAAACACAGACCGACAAAUAUCCCCGUGGCACGUGGGUCCCUCCACGUCACCAGUGCUUGUACGCGUUCCCCUUGCGUGGCAAAAUCCCCCAAUACCGUCUGGACACGUGCCCCUAGCAUCCGUAGCUUAUCAUACCUGGCGCGUACCAUCUCAUUCGAUCUAUUGCAUGGCAUUACAUCAAACUCUUCAUCCAGCUCAUCCCGAUCAAUCGUAUCCGCCAAUGAGAUCUUGGGAUCAAAGUGCGGCAGUGGGUCCCGUGACCUUAACCUAUAAUUCCACACCCCAACUACAAACAUGUAAAAUGCCAAGGUGGGGAUAAUUAAAUCAGGGAACCACACCAGCAUCACCAACAAUGCAUGUACCAAGACCGUAGCCGUCGGAUUCCUCCAACAACGCGUGUCCUCCAUCCAUUUUAUUAUAUCAAUCACCCCUGCAAUCACGUUGAUGAUUCGGAACCAAUUGGCACGCACUUUACGCAUGCUGAACGCGUGCGAAUCGGCAUCCAGCAUAUACGUUAUGACCUCGCGUGGAAGGGGUGGCUCAGAUCGUGACAAGUGUGCGCACACGAUCUUAACAGCCGUGGAUCUCAACAUCUCUUGUUGCAUCACACCAAUAGGCUUGAUGUGGUGCAUUAUGGGCAAUAGAGGCAUCGAGUACAACUGCAAAAUAUCUAGGGUGGGAGUCGCACGUGCGAAUCGUACGGCCACCUCUAUUUCACCCAUUUUCUUUAAUCCAGCAGGAGAUAACAAAAGCAAUGGAAACAUAUUUUUGUACACCUUACCAGUCUCUAGGGUUGAGAUUCGUAUGCGUACCUUUCCAAUCCGAAAAUCAGGGCGCGUGGACACUCUCUGGCCGUCCGAUUCGAAUACUUCCCAACUGUCAAAAACACCAAUAGUCAACACUGUGGACGGAUCGUAAACCCUCCACGUGUACUGCUCAUUCCAUUUCGGGUCCAGGGUAUCAGACACUGUGCGAGUGCGUACCCAUUUGUUACCAUACUUCGCCACUGCAUAUGCGUCAGUAGAACCCUUGCUGUUGAUGGUCUUCAUAGGUAAUAAAUUCUUGCAUCCAAUGAUCCCCAGCUCAACUAUCCCAACAGGGGGUUUCCAAAGCUGCUUCGCGGUCGGACGAUAAUCGCUACACACGUGGGCAGCUUCAUCCAUCACGUGAUAUCCACCGUCGAAACAUACCCUUAGGUGGACCCUACCUUUAUAUACUCUCUUGUCUUGAUUUGGAUCUUCAAAGGUGAACCAUCUUGAUACCACAUUCCGGUCGUCAACACGGCGCUCUAUGGACAUGAGUGGUAUGCUAGCAACCCCUAGGAUAACCUGUUCUUUAGGUUCCCGGUAUUCCACAAGAAAGAAUACUAGUUGGCUGUCACUAAAUGGCUCAGCAGCUACAAACAUCAAGUCUUCAUUCCAUGACGGAGAUCCGUUACGUGUGGGAGAUAGUUUAGUCCUCUGUACUUGAAAUCCCAACUGAGCUUUAACUUGGAAGGAUGAAUCUCUUGACGGCGUUAAUCCGGAUAUGUCUUGGGCCUCAAUCACGGUUGAUCUCAAAUACCACAAUUUAGGUGAUUGGUAGACUUUAGAUCGUGAACUGGGAUUACCGGCUGUGUCGGUCUUCCAUGCUUCUGGGAAUGACUCGUCAGCUUGUGUCCCAACCCACGUGGCAAGCAUGAGAUCGCCUUUAUGGGCGCCACCUCCUUCAAGUCUGUACCAUUGCGGAGCCAGCGGGCUAUCCGGUGGGUCCCGCAGUGGGAUCUCAGUCACAUCGAAGCAUAUGCCACCUAAGAAGCUAUGACCUGCCACGUCGGACGUCGAGCUGGAAAUUAGCGAGUCCCACACUGACACUUCUAGGAUGGAAGAGGAAUCUGGUGCGUCGCGGCUGAAUGCAAAAGUUUGAUCCCACUCGAAGAACAUGGUUAUACGAGCGGGUUUGGAUGUGACUUGGGAACCUGAUACAAUAAUCUUGACCACCGGAUUGCCGGGAGUAGGGAGAGAUCGAGCUUUGACAACUCGGAUGAAGAGGUAAUGCAUUUUCUCCACAAGGUCGAAUGAGGGACGUUCGAUUGAAAUGUUGUCUGAUGCGUCUGAUAUGAAGCUACUGACUGAUGCAGCGCGUGAGAUUGGUCGUGGACCGUAGGUACCACCGACUUUGACUUCUGGUAUUGAUCCUGAUGCUAUAGAUGCCUUCAUUUGAUCAGGAUCCAAUUGUGCUUCUUGUGUUGAAGCAGCUUCCACUGGAUUGUUAGCUCCUUGGACUACGGGCUCAGCUUCAGGAGUGACAUUCGCCGGCGGCGAUGGUGCAGCUUCAGCAAGUGGCGGUGUUGUUGGUGCCCCAGCAUUAGCAGGUGCCGGCGCCGGCCCGUUUUCAGCUGGAGGUGAAGCUACGGCGUCAGCAGACAGCGGUGGAGGUGGCGGUACGGCGUCAGCAGGCGGCGGUGGAGGCGCAGGUUCACUGGGAUUGCCACCAUCCGGUUGUGGCGGAUCUGAAUUUGCAGCUUCUGGUGCUCCCUCUGCACUUGGUGGUGGUGGAUCAGAUGGGGAUGGUGGUGGAUCAGACUUAGUUUCCGGCUGAGGGGGAGGGGGAGGGGGUGGAGCUGGUGGCGGAGUAGGCUCAUGAUCCGUAAAAUAAAUCUUUAAACCGAUCUCACCUUGAAUCCAAGAAAACAAAUUCUUCUUCUCCAGAGUAUAAUAAAUCAAAGCCUCCUCGCCUCUCCUAACAAACUGGCGGGAAUUCAAGCGAACUCUACCGAGGAAAUUAUUUCUAGUAGUAGGACCGAUGUUUUUAUCGUGAUAAACAUCCACCUCUAGCAUGUCACCGAAAACACUAGAUGGCUUCCCAACAUUAUAAGAAACGGUCUCAUUCCAUACCGGAUUUAGGUCACACAUAAUGCUUCUUGUCUUUCUUCUUUGACCAUAGAAAUCAAGAAUCACGUAAGGACUCGACGUUCCAUGCCCAUCUUUCGGCAAAAGAUUACGGGCAUCCACCACCUCCACCACUAACUUUCGAAUACUACCUACCGCCAUGACACGAUGGAUCGAUUGGACAGAAAUGGGCGAAACAAUUAAUUAAUAUUGAUUUAGCGACUCCCCAGCUAGCUAGCUAAUUCUUUAAAGUUUUAGAGGAGAUCAAGUUUAAUUAUAUAUAGUCACAUUUUGUGUAGUAGCUAGUAGUACGUACGGUGUGGGAGUUUGGGAAUUUUAUGGGAUGAAAUUGAAGAAAGAGGGUUUUUGGGUUGGGGGAAAUUAAGGGUAGUUUUAUAAGUACAACAUAGAAAGAGUAUAAUGGAGUUCUUAGGUGGAAAAUAAAGGGGGAGGGGGCAGGAGAUAAGAAAGGUACUUAACUUCAUGUGCAAGCAAGCAGCCUUAGCCUUAGGCCAGUAAUACAACUUAUCCAAAUCCUUCUUUUUCUUAUAUAUUAAUUAAUAAUAUUGUUCUACUUAUUGCUUCUUAAGAUAAUAUUUUCCUUUUCCAGCAUUUAGAUUCUACUUUUUCACUUUUUUCGUUUUCUUUCAAACUGCUUUUACAGUAUGUAUACGUGCUUGUCUUUGUAUUGCUAAGAAGAAAGAGACGCGCAUUAUAAGUAUAAAUUAAAUUGCAGUGAUAUUCAAACUUAUAGUCAUAGUACUAUACAUCGUAAAACUUAUAGGCGCAAAAUAUGUAAAAUAUAAGACGAGUCAUAAUUCAAAAACCAAAAAUAGUUACUAACAUAUAUAAGUGAUAGAAUUUGAACAAAAAUAGGUACCAUAUUAAUUGUUAACAUUUGAUUCCCCCUAUAUAUGAUUUUAAAUCAUUACCAUAUUGAUAAUAUUAAUCCCUUCCUUUAGCUGAUGUAGAUUCUCUUCUACCUUUUCAAACUGACCAUACUUUUGUAUGGACCAAGGGGGAGAGAGAUUGCAAAGUAUAUAUAUGGUUCUAUUCCACAAAUAAGGCUAGUGAAACUUCUUCUCAAUAAUGACUAGUAGUAUGAUUUUUUAAUCAAUUUUAAAAACUAAAAUAUUGACUAUUACACUAAAGUUGGAACAAAUGAGUAAUAUAUUUAAUAUAGUCCAAUAUCUCAACAUUAUAAUAAUAAAAAAAAUAUCAAAUUAACAAAUAUUGGAGUAAACUAAAUUUGAUAUUUCGAUAUCAAACAUUUUUAAGUUUGAAAAAAAUAUCGAACUUAAAAAAAAAAAAUUGGUUUAAGAAAAAAAAAUAUCAAACUCAAUUUUUGAUAUAAAAAUAUCAAAUUUAGUAUACUCCGUAAGGAGUUGCACUCGCCCAACCUAGGAGGUGCUACUAGGCCUAGUUAAAAUUAAUGUCAUCUCUCAAUUAAUCAAUAUAUGUUAUUUGGAAUAGUACCGAUAGGACACACACACACACACACACACACACACAUAUAUAUAUAUAUAUAUAUAUAUAUAUAUAUAUAUAUAUAUAUAUGUGUGUGUGUGUGUGUGUGUGUGUGUGUGUGUGGGGUAAGCUUUUGACAAAGAUAUCAAUCUUUUUGUGUCAUCGACCACGUUUUCAUCAUCUUUUUGCUACCAUAUUAAGUGGACAAUAUUCAAGAAAAAUUCACAAAUCAUCAAUCAUCAAUCAUCAAUCACCACCCCCUUUCCCGCAUUUCGGCCAUGAAUCUUCAUCAUCAUCAGCUAUAUCUGUUUGGACUUUUUUCCACUUCUGCAUAGCAGCAUAGAUACACUGCAUUCAAUUGAAAUCAUACCCAGCUAGCUCCUCCUUCCAAGGUAUAUAUAUACUUGAUCAAAGAUUUUCUCUCUUUUUCCGGCUAGAAUCGGAAUUGUCAUUUAAGACUCACUUGAACCAACCAAAUGUUUAAAAGCAUUGUCUACGGGAUUAAUUAAUUCAUUAACCAACAACGGUGCCUUUGAAAAUGGUAGACACCACUCCCAAACCAACAUUGGGAGUGUACAUGAGAAGAAGCAAUUGUCUUUAUUAGUGACCACUUCAUUUGAUCAUUUUUCCUUUCUAAUUUAGUUUAUAAUUGUAGACCUUAAUUAUUUUUAUCGGGUGGUUCAUAUUAAUCAUUAAUUAAUCUAGAAUUUAGUUACUUGUUCCCAAACUUUUGGGAGGUAUUUUUUUAAAAGAAAAGAUAAAAAUGUUAAGAUUUUUUACUUACUUAAUAUUUUUAUUUUGAAAAUAAGAAAGAUAAAAAGAAAUAAUGAUGAAUGGUAAAAAUGUAAUAUUUUGAAACAUGAGAUAAAGAAUAGUAAAAGGUGGAUGAAACCAAGUGAAUCAAGACGGUGGAUUGUGAAUCAACCAUGCACAAAAAUAUUAGAAAUUAACUUCCUUUCAUAUAUUUGUUUUACCCCCAUCAUAAUCUUCAAUCCAACCCCCAAUAUACUAAAAAUGAGAAAUACAUAAUUACUAAAAAGGAUAAUAUCAUGUGCACUAAUUGAUCACAAAAAAUUAUAUACCAAUAAUAUGACGUUCUAUGUAUUACAUAUCGAUGAAAAUAGAUAAAACACGUGUACACAACUUUUUUGUGUAUAGUUAGUGUCCUUAACAUUACUGUUAAUGAAAGCACUAUUUUGGAAAAGUAGACUCUUUGUCCGUAUAUAACGUAAGCUAUUUUUUCCACCUUUAUAUCAUUGUUAUAAUUUUCAGAUUUAAAUUGUGAUUAAAAUUAUCUUUGGUCCAUAGUGUAAAGAUAAAUUAUUGAUUGGUAUGAUUAUGAUCAAGAACUAUGUAUUGUUAUAAUCAUGACCUUUAAAAGUUCUCGUUGACCCGUAGUGCAAAGAAGAAUUGUUGAAUAUUGAUAUCUUUGGUCCGUAGUGCAAAGAUGGACAUGUGUUUGACAUGAUCAUGAUCACUGAUGAUACAAAUGAAUAUCUUUGGCCCGUGGUGCAAAGAUAGAUUAUUGUUUGGCAUGCUCAUUGGUUUUUACAAUUGAACAUCUUUGGCCCGUAGUACAAAGAUAAACAAUUGAUUGGUAUGAUAAUGACCAUUGAUAUUACAAUUGAAUAUCUUUGGCCCGUAGUGCAAAGAUAGACAAUUAAUUGGUAUGAUCAUGAACAUUGUUGUUACAUUUGAAUGUCUUUGGUGUAAGGUGUAAAGACGAUAUGAUUAUUGAGUACGUUUUUAGCCUUUGUGGUAAGUACAUUGAGUAAAAGUUCUAUUUGGCCUUUGUGGCAAGGAGAAAUUGUUAAUUUACAUUAUUAUAAACAUAAAUUGUGAAUUUAACUAUAAUUUUUUGUGGUUCAGGUGAAGACAGAUGAUGAAAGUUCUCUUUGUCUUGGGUACAACAAAGAACUGUUGAUGGGUAUUACAUAAAUGAAAUAUUAAUGAUAGACUUUUAAUUUGGAGGAGAUAGUAGACAUUAUGUUCUACUUGAUUCUUCUAAUGGAUUGUUGAUUCCGCUGUAAUUAUGAUUGAAAUUUUUUAUCAUUUACCAUAUGUUCUAAAUAUCUAAUUUAUUACUGAUGAAGACUAUUGAUAAUUUAAUUAUCUGUAGUCAUAAUAAUCUUUAUUAGGAUAUUUGUGCUUACCCUUUUGCUUCAUAAUUUUUUUCAGGUAAUAAAAGUCUAGCUGAGUCGAGCGGGGAUAACAAGGAAAUAGAGUGAUAGUCUGUGACUGUUGAAAUUUUUCAAUAUAUUAUAAAACAGCAUGACAAUAUAUAAUUGUAUUGAAGACUUAAAAUAUGUGUCGUGUUUUAUACGUCCUUUAAUAGUUAAUUUUGGUGAACAACAGUGAGGUGAUGAGAACCCGACUUUGAAAGCGUAAAAAAUACACCUCAUUAGAAUGAGGAGGGCAAAAUUGUAUUGAGAGCUUAAAUGGUGUGUUGCUACUAUCAUACACGAUGUCUAAUCAUAUAUAUACAAAUUCGUGUUAUUGUAAGAUAUGGUUGUGUGCAUCCACUUGCUGACUAUAUCUAUGAGCAUUAUUUAUAUAAUCUUACAGUAUGGUAGAAAUAUAAUCCUCAGUUUGAGAUAAUAGAGAUAAUUAUAUGGCAAAAAAAUACACACCAUUAGAAUAAACAGAAUAAUAAUCUUUUUGUUCUUCUUUGGGGUCUAUUGGAUCAACCAAGGUUAAUUCUCAAGUCCUAUGAUAUCUAUUAUAACUUAGAUGCAUGGCCUCCUAUGUAUGAAGGUUUACUUUAGCAUUUUUUAAAUAUUUUAAUUCCUAAAACAGUUAUCGACUGUACCUUUAUGUAAAGUAUCAUUGGUUUGGAGUAAGAGUACUGAGAUUUUGCAUGACAGUUUAAUAGUUGUAAAUUGGAAUAUUUGUAUUUAGAUUCUGUAGUGUGUAUUUGGCGACCCAAAAUGGGUUGUGUGAACCUUUUUUGGGGCGUCACAGAGGGAUUAUAUAUAAUACCAGGUAGAACAUGGUAUUAAAUAAUUCCACAUCUUAAGUUAUUUUAUAAUCCCAUGACUAAUAGUUCUAAGUUCAAAUUGAAAAACAAACAAGACACUUGUGAUUAAUAGUCUUCUCAAAUGUAAUACUUACAAACAAAUAUUACCUUAGUUUGAUAAAAAAAAAUUAAAAAAAAAUUGCCUCACUUUAU
rnacentral:lncRNA from 1 species